ensembl:lncRNA
GUGCAUGUAGUGGUCACAAUAAUCUUUUUUUUUAAUGAAUGAAUGUAUCCUCAUAGCUUUGUAUGUUCCAUUUCCUUGAAAUGCCUUUUCCCCCGCGGUGCAUUCGAAACUGCAAAGUGCUCUUUCUGUAAACGUCUUCGAUGGCACUUCUGCCAGGAAGCCUUGAGCCAGGACCCUCAGAUGCUCACAGCCCAGGAAGUGGGUCUCCUGUCACCAACUACACACUGUCUCUUCUGUGUGGUGUUAUCCCUGCAUUUGACUCGUCACAGGUCUCAGACGUGAGAAGGCAUCUCAAGAAAGCAAAAACAACCAGAAUCCACCCGAAGUAUGAGAGACUCCUUUGCAUCUGAGACAUGACAAGCUAUUUGGUACAACUGGAGGAUGUGAUGAAGAGGGAUGCCUGGAGGAGGUGAGAGAGAUGCAGACUAUGUGAACUAGCAAGUUUAAAUUGAUCCUGGAUUCAACGGGGAACUUUCUAGUGAUUGAAGGGGUUGAAGUAGAGGGUGAGGAGUUCAAAGGUUCACUCAGAAUGAUCUCCCUGGGACCUGUGGGAGGGAGGGACUGAGAGUGAGGGCUUUUAUGAUAAUCUCAGUGAGGGGCCUGAAAUGAGGUAGAGGAAAAGGAAGCCUUGUGGGGCAGAGGGCAGAGAAUGACCAGAUAGUAAACUGCCAGAGAAGCAGAGACUGUAGGAUGCGGUAAGAAAGGAUGGGGAGAUGAAGAAGAGAGAGGAGUCAAGGUGACCUCCACGCUUCUCGCGAGUACGGGUGCCCAUCACCGAGAUGCAGAGCAUGAGUGCGAUGGGUCCGUUAUUUUAAAUGGAGGCUGUGGCUCUGCUCCUAUCCCCAGCUUCUUCAAGCCUAGUGCUGCAUACACACCAGGUUCCUGACACAUCUUUACGAGCAGCGGACUAAUUGGAAGUUGCAUUGAAAUGUAGAUGCUAACUAUGGUUUGUGCUUCAAGAUGCAGGUCUCCUUGGGGCCCCCUUGCCAAGUUCUUGAGAGCCCACUGAGGAGGUUGUGCGCCUGUGGGAGAUGACAGCCAGGUUCCCACGCCCAUGUAUCCUGCUGGUGGGAUCAGGGUUGGCUGCUCCUCUCCUGCUACUUUGCCUGGUGUGUGGAAUGUCCUGAGACCGUCUCCUCCUAUAGCUCCACUCUUUCCACCUCUGCCAAACCUUUCAGAGGAAAUCCUAGAGAGGCUGGAGUGACAUGUCCUAACCCCAGCCAGAGAGGGUGCUUCAAGGAGGGAUCUGACCACAGACAGGUGCUCUACCCCACCGUGGACAGGGUUCUAUGAUGCCCUCCCUCCACUCACCCUCACUCACAACACUCUAUGAGGCAGACACUAGCCUUGUCCCCCAACUUACAGAGAAGGAAACUGGAGUCCAGAGAGGUAAAGUAGGUUGCCUGAGGCCCCUCGUUAGUAAAGUGGGGGAUCCAAGUGCAGGUCCAAUCAGAAUCUUGGGUGCAUCAGCUCAUUCCAGAGCUAUCGUCAGGAGGCAGGCAGCCUGAAGUGGUAGUGGCCUGGGAAGGACAACGGCUGAGCUCAGAUUUUCCUGGGCUCCAGAAGGGGUAGACCAGAAGCCCAGCUCCACAGUGAGCACAUGGCCCCCCCUUCUUGGGCCUGGGUU